GACAGAGGUGCCAAGCGUUAGGCGGAAUCACUGGGCUUAAAGCGUGUGUAGGCGGGUGCCUAAGUACCUUGUGAAAUCCCCCGGCUCAACCGGGGAACUGCUUGGUAUACUGGCGGUCUUGAGCCAGCUAGGGGCUACCGGAACAAAUGGUGGAGCGGUGAAAUGCGUAGAUAUCAUUUGGAACGCCAAUGGUGAAAACAGGUAGCUGGGGCUGUGCUGACACUGAGACACGAAAGCCAGGGGAGCAAACGGG
rnacentral:rRNA from 1 species